AUUGAACGCUGGCGGCAGGCCUAACACAUGCAAGUCGAACGAGUGGCGGACGGGUGAGUAAUGUCUGGGAAACUGCCUGAUGGAGGGGGAUAACUACUGGAAACGGUAGCUAAUACCGCAUACCAUCGGAUGUGCCCAGAGGGGAUUAGCUAGUAGGUGGGGUAACGGCUCACCUAGGCGACGAUCCCUAGAUGGUCUGAAAGGAUGACCAGACACACUGGAACUGCGCAACGGUCAAGACUCCUACGGGAGGUAGCAGUGUGGAAUUUUGCACAAUGGGCGCAAGCCUGAUCCAGCCAUGCCGCUUGUAUGAAGAAGGCCUUCGGGUUGUAAAGUACUUUCAGCUGGGAGGCGUUACCCGCAGAAGAAGCACGGGCUAACUCCGUGCCAGCAGCCGCGGUAAUUC
rnacentral:rRNA from 1 species